GAUGAACGCUGGCGGCGUGCCUAACACAUGCAAGUCGAGCGAACGGACGAGAAUUUUUCUUCUCUGCUGUUAGCGGCGGAUGGGUGAGUCACACGUGUAUACCCUACCUAUAAGACUGGGAUAACUUCGGGAAACCGGAUCCAACAUCGGUCAAUAUUUUGAACCGCAUGGUUCUACAGUGAAAGACCGUCUUGCUGUCACUUAUAGAGGGAUCCUCGUUGCAUUAGCUAGUUGGUAAGGUAACGGCUUACCAAGGCGACGAUGCAUAGCCGACCUGAGAGGGUGAUCGGCCACACUGGAACUGAGACACGGUCCAGACUCCUACGGGAGGCAGCAGUAGGGAAUCUUGCGCAAUGGGCGAAAGCCUGACGCAGCCACGCCGCGUGAGUGAUGAAGGUCUUCGGAUCGUAAAGCUCUGUUAGUAGGGAGGAACAUAAGUAUGAGUAACUGUGCACAUCUUGACGGUACCUACACAGAAAGCCACGGCUAACUACGUG
rnacentral:rRNA from 1 species